GUGAACCUCUGUUGAGGACGUGUGCCGUUCGGGAGCUCUCCUUGUCUUUGGCCUUUGACGAUGGCAAAAUAAGGUGGGUAUGGCAUCAGGUUUUAACCUGAGGUGUCCUUUUUUUUGUACAAAUAAACUGACUGUCCUCAAAAUGCACCUGCAGAGAGACUCUUAAAAUCAGUGUGAAAUGUAUACGCAAGAUAGAAUUGAAAUGUUGUUCUGUCUGCUCUAAUAAAAUGACCUUAUAAAUUUAAACUGUUGUACGUCACAUUUAUAAACAUUUACCUGACAUAUCUUUCUACUGUUGCAGUUGCCAGCCUUGACAUCAAAAUUUUGUCUGCUGACCAUCGCCAGCCAUCUCUUCUGCCUCUCCUUUUCUUUAGGGAAACCAUACAUUCGAUGGCCCCUCUCUGAGCGGUUGGUGCACCCAAAUGCUGCACAGCCAACCAUCACUGGUCUCUACACUGUACAAUGGUAAACGUAAAGAUAAUUAGCUGUCAAGCCUCAAAUGUUGUGUAAAAGUGGACAAUAUGUCCCUUAACAGUCAUCCCUGAGACUUGCAUUAUAAAUCAGAGCUGAAAAGAUGACUACUUUCAUAACAAUGCUGGACAGUCUGAAGAGCUUCUCUGUUAUUCACUGCUGCUGUAGUGUGGAAAUGUGGGAAAAUGUGGCCCAGUGCUUCAACUGAUUUUCAAGUGACCAAAUGUGUGUUUGAAAGUGGUAAUAGCUGCC